rnacentral:rRNA from 1 species
GACGAACGCUGGCGGCGUGCUUAACACAUGCAAGUCGAACGAAGUGGGAACGGGUGAGUAAUACGUGGGUAACCUCCCUCCUUUUUGGGAUAAGCCUUGGAAAAGGGGUCUAAAACGAAUAGAUGGGCUCGCGGCCUAUCAGCUUGUUGGUGGGGUGAUGGCCUACCAAGGCGGUGACGGGUAGCCGGGCUGAGAGGGUGACCGGCAAAAUUGGGACUGGGCUACGGCCCAGACUCCUACGGGAGGCAGCAGUGGGGAAUCUUCGGAAAUGGACGAAAGUCUGACGGAGCAACUCCGCGGGAGUGAUGACGGCCUUCGGGUUGUAAAGCUCUGUUAAUCGGGACGCGGUACCGGAAUAGAAAGCCACGGCUAACUACGUGCCAGCAGCCGCGGUAAUAC